rnacentral:pre_miRNA from 1 species
GUACACCCCAGAGGCGUGACCCCUGAGAACACAAGGCAGGUUUGCCAAUUGCCAUUGCUGCUACAUAUUUGUUGAAUUAAGCCGGUAUAAAUAUAUGCAUGGGCCCAUGGCUAAUGUACCUUGUGUUCUCAGGUCACCCCUUUGGGGCAUCC